rnacentral:rRNA from 1 species
GACGAACGCUGGCGGCGUGCUUAACACAUGCAAGUCGAGCGAUGAAGCUCCUUCGGGAGUGGAUUAGCGGCGGACGGGUGAGUAACACGUGGGUAACCUGCCUCAUAGAGGGGAAUAGCCUUUCGAAAGGAAGAUUAAUACCGCAUAAGAUUGUAGUACCGCAUGGUACAGCAAUUAAAGGAGUAAUCCGCUAUGAGAUGGACCCGCGUCGCAUUAGCUAGUUGGUGAGGUAACGGCUCACCAAGGCGACGAUGCGUAGCCGACCUGAGAGGGUGAUCGGCCACAUUGGGACUGAGACACGGCCCAGACUCCUACGGGAGGCAGCAGUGGGGAAUAUUGCACAAUGGGGGAAACCCUGAUGCAGCAACGCCGCGUGAGUGAUGACGGUCUUCGGAUUGUAAAGACUCUGUCUUUAGGGACGAUAAUGACGGUACCU